AAAGUCUAACCUGCUCUAUGAAAUAUUAUUUAAAUGGCCGCGGUAUUUUGACCGUGCAAAGGUAGCAUAAUAAUUAGUUUUUUAAAUGAGAACUGGAAUGAAUGGUUGAACGAAAAAAAUACUGUCUCAAUUUAAUUUUAAUUAGAAUUUUAUUUUUAAGUAAAAAAGCUUAAAUAACUUUAAAAGACGAGAAGACCCUAUAGAGUUUUAUAUUAAAUAAUUUAUUUAAAAAUUGAAGUAUUUAUUAUUUAUUUAUUUAAUUUAGUAUUUAGUUGGGGUGACUAAAAAAUUUAAUAAACUUUUUUUUUAUUUUUACAUUUAUUUAUGAGUAAUUGAUCCA
rnacentral:rRNA from 2 species